AGGAUAAACGCUGGCGGCGUGCAUGAGACAUGCAAGUCGAACGGACACUUGGGGCUUGCUCCAAGUGUUAGUGGCGGACGGCUGAGUAACGCGUAGGUGACCUGCCCCGAAGUGGGGAAUAACUGCCCGAAAGGGUGGCUAAUACCGCAUGUGGUGGUGUGUUCAUUCACACCAGUAAAGCCGCAAGGCGCUUCGGGAGGGGCCUGCGUCCGAUUAGCUCGUUGGUGGGGUAACGGCUCACCAAGGCGACGAUCGGUAGGUGGUCUGAGAGGACGAUCACCCAGACUGGGACUGAGACACGGCCCAGACUCCUACGGGAGGCAGCAGUCGGGAAUUUUGCGCAAUGGACGAAAGUCUGACGCAGCAACGCCGCGUGAGGGAUGAAGGCCUUCGGGUUGUAAACCUCUUUUAUCUAGGGAGAUAAUGACGGUACCUGAUGAAUAAGUCACGGCUAACUACGUGCCAGCAGCCGC
rnacentral:rRNA from 1 species